UAAAUAAGAAAAUCAGAAAUUUUAUAAAAACCUCAGCUUCUCUUUCUCUUUCCCUCUCUCUCUCUCUCUCCCUCCCGAUAGUUCUAGAAAACCAGUCGGGCAGCCACCUUCCAAGCCACCCCAACGCCACCUCACGCCACCCCAACCCUCCGGACCGGACCCAGCAGCACCGGCCAGCUCCCGCCAUCAACCCCAGCCCGUCCGCCGCCCCUGCUGCUGUCUGGAGCCGCCGGAAACUGCUGGAAAACGCAGCAGUUUUGGCAGAUUUUCCAACCUCAGUUUCUCCCUCAUCCGGCCACCAAAUCAGUCGUGUGAGGCACCAGAGGUCCAGUCGACUUGCAGGAAGGACCUUCGAAGGGUCCAAUUAGCUCGGACCAUCCGCAGUAAACGUGCACAGGAAUCCACCACCGGGCCACUUCCC